UUCACCGACAUUGUGCCUUCUCAUUCUUCAGCGUCUAGCCAUUCCCUUUAGUCCCCCUUGUUGCUUCCUCCGUUGCCGUCGACUUGUGCUGUCCUCGCCGUCGUGAGGGGUUAUUGGAAGUGGUGAAGAUGUUGGUUUUCUGUCACUAUUUUCUUCUCUUUCCAGCCGUGUCGCCGUUCUCCUCUGCUCUUUUCCUGAUUUAGUUGGCAUGUGUAUGUGUGUCAUCUUCAACUUCUCUUUCUCCUCAGUUCUGGCCGUUGCACAUGCGUAUGAAACAUAAAAGAAGCGAAGGUGAAGGAAAAAAAUGGAGGCCGGAGAUUGCAGAACAAAGGAUUUGGAAUUCUCUCAUCUCCAACGAGUUACUGUGCUCAUCCAGCAUGAAUCAGGGAUAGAUUUCUGGCACCAAGAAAUAGAACCAAGGGAGGACUGACGCACGAACCAGAACAGAAGAGAAGAAACGACUGAAACCUUGAUUGAAUCCCCUGUAGCAACAAACGAACGAUCACCUGACUAUACACUGGUGACGGCCGAGGACGAAGAAUAGCGAUUGAAGAAUAGAGUUUUGAUAGGAGCUCUCUCUCUCUCUCCCCAUUCUGGAAAAAUAAAAAAUGAAGAUGGAGAAGAGGAUGAAAACCGUGUGCGUGUUUUUAAAUCCCUGAUUGUUCUCUGUUUUUUAAGGGCAUUUUAGAAAUUUUGCCAUGCCAAAACAAAAUAGAAUAUCUCCUAUGGUACUUCCCAGAUUCGAACUCUGAAGCAACAGGGUUAUUACUGAUACAUUCCUUCAUCUGAGCAAGUUGUUGAUGUCUUUACUAAAGUAUUAUUUCACACCAAGUUUUGGGAAUUCCGUGACAAACUCAGACUCUUGAAAUUUUUCACCUCUCGCUUGAGGGGGAAUGUGGAAACAAAGCCAAUAUGUAUGCAACACAAGCCCAAGUCAAUUAAGCCUAAUAUUAUUAAGUGUGCAGAGCCCAUUCUAUAACCACUCUGGAUAUUAUGUAUCAUUUGUACAGCCUCUAGGUUAUUCUUUUGUAUAGAUAUUAUUUUUGUAUACACAUGUCUAGGGUUGUGCACCCUAUCUAUUUAAAGCUAAUAAUAUUCUGGGCACUUUAA